UACGUAGGGUGCGAGCGUUAAUCGGAAUUACUGGGCGUAAAGCGUGCGCAGGCGGUUCGUUGUGUCGGUGGUGAAAUCCCCGGGCUUAACCUGGGAAUGGCCUUGGAAACUGGCGAACUGGAGUGCGGCAGAGGGGGGUGGAAUUCCGCGUGUAGCAGUGAAAUGCGUAGAGAUGCGGAGGAACACCGAUGGCGAAGGCAGCCCCCUGGGCUAGCACUGACGCUCAGGCACGAAAGCGUGGGGAGCAAACAGG
rnacentral:rRNA from 1 species